AGAAAUUUAGGUUAAAACAGACCGAGGGCCUUCAAAGCCCUAAGUAGGUAUAAUUUACUUAAUUUCUG
rnacentral:tRNA from 1 species